UGGAAGAGGAAGGGAAACAGACCUCCAUACUACUACCAUGGUGCCACCUUGGCACAGGCACAAUGAAGCGGAAUACAAGCCGCGGAAUGGGCAGAGAAGAGGAAGAUGUAGGAAAUACCAGAGGACAGCAGAGCAUGGAAGUGAGCAAGAUGCCAGCAGACAGAGGAUGAGUCAGAUGUAGAUUAAUGAAGGGAAGCGUAGAAGGAUUUUGAAGAGAGAAAUGGAUGAUACUAUGAAACUUGCCAGCUGCUGCGUGCCAGCCGGCGGGCACCAUGCCAGCCUGCAGCCGUGGCAUAACCGAAGCGAUCAACGCGGUCGACGGAGAACUGUCAUAGUUGAAGACAAGGAGACUCACCUCGGAGGAUUUGCUGCUAAUCACCGUUUGUUUGCUUGGACAAAGCCAAACAGAGGUGCCCAGGCAACGGUUGCCAGCGAUUCUGUGAUGGCAUCUUUUCAGGGUGGCGAGGGCACAGGGAGGAAGAUGGCACGCUGCCAAGACAACAUAACACACACAUUUGCAAACAGAAACCGCCAUACGGCGAGCAGAACAUUUCGGAUGCCUUACAUGUUUUGGCGAUGGCAUCCCCUCAAGGGAGAGAGACCAGGAACAGAGAUGGCACCAUGCCAGAUGCAAACUGGGAGGCAUUCGCGGGCGCCACCAGAAGCUCUGCAAAAGCGUAGUAAACGCAGACACAAAAUCAUAGCAGAAGGUUGGAACCAGCCACAAAUGCAACUGAGGUGAGAGUAUGGGAUAAAAACCAUUUCCUGAAUGCCAACUCUACUCAGUGCCAACUGCUGCACUGUAAGGAAGCUACUGCCCAUUACAAAGAACCAAGACAAGGGAUCAUACCAUUCCAGUACGGAGAGAAGGAAGAGAAGAGGAAUAAUGAGCAAAAUUAAUAGAGGAUAUAGUGGAAGAAAAAUACGAGGAAUUUUGUGCUUAACGAAGAACAGUGGGAGUGGGUGGACAAGGAUGAUGAAGAGCCUCUUUCCUGCACAUGCACACCUGGGAUGUUCUUAAAGGGAUAUCCCCUCACACUGCUGUGUGAGUCAAAGGGAGGGAUGUGUUGGCAUCAUCUCCAGGGUGUCAAGCUGUGUUUCUGUAUUGCCAGUCAGGGAGGGUGCUGCAGUCGUCAGGGGCGGGCAACUGUCUGGGCAUCUCAUCUGCAGCUAAUUAACAGCCACACACUAAUUCUAACAGCCGAUCAUAAUUAGCGAUUUAAUCGCUCGUCAACGCUUUUCUCCCCCCUUAAAUUGUGCCUCCUAUUUGGACACGUGCGGAUAAGCUAAGGAACGCCGGAUCCCCCCUCCCUCCCCUCCUUCUCGUCCUUCUUUCCUUCAUCCUUGGCUCCAGACUCCAGUGGGAUCUUAAUUAAGCCUGGGCUUCAUUAUGCAAAUGGAGUACAAUAAACGACAGCAGAGGUGGAGCUGGAUCCAGACUGAAACGGAACGGUGGGAGGGGAGCACUGGAAGAGGAAAAUGAAGAGAUGUGGAAGGUUACCAAAAUCGUCUAUGUGAUGUUAUGACAUUACAAUAACUGUUUAUUGUUUUGACGUGUACAGUGUGUCUUCAGUGUGUCACACCCACGUGUGGUGGGAGAAGCAACACUUCGUGAUCUGAUGCUCCUUUUCAUUUGCCAUCGGAGAAACUUCUGUGAAGUAACACUGGAUACGCAGAAUGUCAUCUCUCACAAAGAAAAUUCAUAAGGGAAUGGUGACAAUGAACCCCUUAAUAUCACCAGUUGGCCGGUGUCGUGGAUAUGAAGAAAGAUGGUAAAGAUAGGCAGAGAGAAAGGAGGCAGACAGAAACACUGACGGUGGCAGCAGCAUGGCAGCUAAUGUCAUCUCAGUUUAAUCAUCGCUUGGGAUCAUGGGGUUCAUGAAAAUUCAUUUGCAUAUCAUUAAACAGAGAGAGGUUAUUUGGUGCGGGCAGCCAAAAUGGGAUUGGAUGAAGGAAGGGAGAAAAAAAAGGCAAAUGGAGGGACUCGUUAUUAAACAGCAAUGUUUUAUAGUCCGCCAGCCGAUUCAUUUAAUUUGGGCGUAAUUAAAAUGUGUCAGACUCAAUCAAUCAUUCCAACAGGGAUACUAUCAGUGUUUCAGUCUGAAAAAAGACUAAUCAGUUGAUAUGCGGUCGGACAUUUUCCAAUAACAGUCUAAGUGCUUUAGUCUACUUUGAGCUUGACCCAUCCACUCGCUUUUCUCAUUUAUCUGAAGGAGUGUAUCAAAACAUCCAUUGUGACUUCCUUGUAUUGUGUCAAGACAUGUCUAUCUCUGACAGGUGGCGGUGCCACUCUGUGUUAGUCAGUAAGAGGAUAGCUCACACUGUCUUUUUGACCUCAGAAGCAAGCUGUCAGCUGUGUGUAUGUAUGUGCAUGCAUACAUGCAUUUCUCAUUUGCAUAAGUGAUGUAAUUAGACCACCCUUUCACAUGCAGAUCAGUUUGACAACAUGGCAAUCACUCCAGCACACACAUACAGCCAUGCGCACACACACACACACACACACACACAAACACACGCGACAGCACACGCUUACUGCCGUGACCAGCACCAUAUCAUGGGGAGUCUGUUGUCUGUGAGCAGAGAGUGUAAAGAUUAACAUAAUCCAGCUAAUAAGUGUGAGUAAUAUUCACACAGUGACGCGUGGCGUAGACACUGUCCUGCUGAUGCGUAUUUGUAUCUCAUUAUAGAUGUAAAGUACUGAAGGGGGGCCGACACAGGAGGGGGGUGCCAAUGUGGAUGGGGGAUGGUGAGGGGUCACAAAAAAAGUGUGGGCCUCAAUAUAAAGACACCAAAGAAUGACAAUGAACAGCAGUAUUUUUUGUAAAGUUAUUCUAUCCACGCUUUUUGCAGAGGGCUGAUGGGAGUAUAAAGACAGAUUACACAGGGUACCUCAUAACUGAGAUGCUGGAGAUCGGUGUAGGAAGUCUUUCAAAUGUUUCCAUAAAAUCAGAGAGACAAUUUCACUCAUUUUCCCAUUCGGUUACUGUAAGAAGGCACAGAGUGUCAGUUUUUGUGGCAGAAUGUAGGAAUUAUAAAUAGAGUGUAUUUGCGCUUGCAGGCUAGCUCUGCCACAUGAUUGAUUAGGAUGGUGUGACGACCAUUAAAAAGUCAUUUAAAAGAUGGAUAGGGACCACAUUUCCAAAUAAAAACCACUUUAUACCUGAUGAAGUGCUGAACAAACUCUCCUUCAAAGACAUUUACUGAUUACUCUUGGUGUGUGAGUGAGUGUGGAAGCACCCAUAUACUUUGUGUAGCUCUGCAUCAGCUAUAGAAGAUACCAAAAGCAGUCUUAAGGACACAGUAGGGCAGCGGUAGUGGUUUUCACCUUUUUAAAAACUGAAAUCAGAUCGCAAUUUUUAGAUUAGAAGACGCGGCGUGAUGUUCAUUUGGUUGAGGGUGUAAUCUCUACGUGUACACACAGUGCCACAAACGGGUCGACACGCGCACACUGAUUGAAAUGUACCUGAUAGCACAGCGUCGCCUCGACUGAAGCUUUAUCCAAAGAAGCAGAGCUGUGUCUAAAU